AUUGAACGCUGGCGGCAGGCUUAACACAUGCAAGUCGAGCGGGGAAGGGUAGCUUGCUACCUAACCUAGCGGCGGACGGGUGAGUAAUGCUUAGGAAUCUGCCAUUUAGUGGGGGACAGCAUUCCGAAAGGAAUGCUAAUACCGCAUACGUCCUACGGGAGAAAGCAGGGGAUCUUCGGACCUUGCGCUAAACGAUGAGCCUAAGUCGGAUUAGCUAGUUGGUGGGGUAAAGGCCUACCCAGGCGACGAUCUGUAGCGGGUCUGAGAGGAUGAUCCGCCAGACAGGUACUUAGACAAGGCGCAGACUCCUAACGGAGGCAGCAGUGGGGAAGGUUGGACAACGGGCGGAAGCCUGAUCCAGCCAUGCCGCGUGUGUUAACAAGGCCUUAUGGUUGUAAAGCACUUUAAGCGAGGAGUAGGCUACUUAGAUCAAUACUCUAGGAUAGUGGACGUUACUCGCAGAAUAAGCACCGGCUAACUCUGUGCCAGCCGCCGCGGUAA
rnacentral:rRNA from 1 species